rnacentral:rRNA from 1 species
UUUUACAAUGAAGAGUUUGAUCCUGGCUCAGGAUGAACGCUAGCGGCAGGCCUAAUACAUGCAAGUCGAGGGGUAACAGGAAGUGCUUGCACUUCGCUGACGA